CCUUCAGUCUCCUCCUAUCCACCUCUAGCCUUGCGCGACCUGCCCACGCUCGCCGGCCAUGCCGCCGCCACUCUCCUUCCUCCACCCACCUCCCAACCCGCCUGUCCUCCACCCCUCCCCCUUCCACCAGCGUGCCCCCCACCGCCUAUCCCUCCGCGCCGAUCCCCCAUUCCGAGCGGCGACGGUGGCGGCGGCAGCGGCAGCGGCCGAGAACCCGUACUCGGCGGCGCCCACUGCGGCGGACGUCGAGAUGUUCCGCGGCGGGGACGGCGUGUGGACGGCGCGGAGCCCGACGGUGGUGGUGCUGUGGGACCUCGACAACAAGCCCCCGCGCGGGCCGCCCUUCGAGGCGGCCACCUCCCUCCGCGAGGCGGCGUCCCUCCUCGGCCGCGUCGACUCCGUCUCCGCCUUCGCCAACCGCCACGCCUUCACCCACCUCCCUGCCUGGGUCUCCGCCGACCGCCGCGAGCGCCGCGCCCUCGACCGCGCCGAGCGCACGGGCGCCGCCGCCCCGCCCGUCCCCUACUCCUGCGCCGUCUGCGGCCGCCGCUUCCCCACCCGCCCCGACCUCGCCCGCCACUUCCGCCAGCUCCACGAGCGCGAGCGCAACAAGAAGCUCGGCCGCCUCCGCUCCCUCAAGGGCAAGAAGCGCCAGAAGUUCCGCGAGCGCUACAUCUCCAACAACACCAAGUACCAGGACGCCGCGCGGGAGCUCCUCACCCCCAAGGUCGGCUACGGGCUCGAUUCCGAGCUCCGCCGCGCCGGCGUCCAUGUCCGCACUGUCCCGGACAAGCCGCAGGCUGCCGACCAGGCGCUCAAACGCCAGGUGAAGCACGCCAUCGCCUGCGGCGUCGACUGGGUCGUGCUCGUCUCCGAUGACUCCGACUUCACCGACACGGUGCGUAACGCACGCGCUGCCGCCCUGAGGAUGGUUGUGGUUGGAGAUGGGUGUCGCGCGCUCGGAAAGGUUGCUGAUAUUUGGCUGCCUUGGGACAGCGUGCAAAACGGGGAGGUUGAUGAGGAGAUGAUGCGGAGUGGGAAGGUUCCAGAGUUUAGAUAUGAAGAGGACGAUGAGCAAGAUGAUGACGAGUUCAUAGUGGAUUGGGAUACGAAUGAAUUGGAUGAUGUUGUUGAUGAUAUUGUUACAAGCAGGACUAAAGUGUUUGGUUCUACAACAAUGUCUGCAUUUGCCGAAGAGGACAUUGUUGAUGGUAUAUUGGGGCUUCGACAUAAGGAGGAUGACAUGCUUUGGAGUAGCGACGACGAGGAUGAGGAUGGUUAUCUGUGAGAUUUACACGGAUUGGCAGGUUCAUACCAAUAUUCUUCUGAAUGUUAGGACCAACAUAUGGCCAAGUAGUUAAGUCAUUAUCAUCGAUUCAGUCACACUGCUCAAUUUCACGAACUUGGCAAUAUGGCAAUUCUCAUACUUGCUAGGCGGCAGGUUUUGUGAGGCGCUACGAGGGAAGUCUCCAUACUGCAAUGAUCAACUGAUCAAGACAAUACCACUGGCUUGUGUUCUUGAAUUCUUGUCAUCUCUACGUGCACUACUUCAGGAUCCAAAGCUUGAUUGCUUUCCUCAGUGCCGCUCUGCACACAAGUAACCAGUAAUUUCAGUAUCUCUUGUUUCUUCACUUCAGAGCCACUUCUGUUUGGUCUUGGAUGAUCAUUCAUCCACGUUAAUAAAGAGAACAUCAUCACCCAACCUUCUUCAGGUGGUAUCCAUUUCUCUGGCAAGUAAGCUGUACCUGUAACUUAACCCCUCACUAAUCUGUUGACAUGAACAUCAUAGCUUCAGCUGUCCUUUUUUGUCAGUUCCAUAAUGUCACCUCCAUAAGCAACAUUGCAUGUUCACCACAUUUUAUAUCAUCACCAUUGUUCAGCCUCUAAGUUUCCCUAUGCAGUUGUUUCGAACCAAUAUCAUCUGCUAGGCCUUUUGUUAGUUUUCUGUAGUUGGUAUCCUUGAUUUCUUUAACUAUUUUACCAAAUCUCUGUAGGAUAAGCAGCAUCUUGAAUUAUUAAUACUAACCCAGAUUGGGGCACUGAACUCCUGUUUUAAUGUUCCUGUCCUGCCUAUAAAGAAUUUCCCAUAAGGCCACCUCUUGAGAAAAAUGAACAGGGGAAAAUGUAGUGGGAUGUUUGGGGCACUAUAAGUCAACAAGGGUUGGUAACUCAUUACUGGGGGAAACUUUGCACAAAGUUUCAUUACGAUUAAUGGUGGCUUCAAGAUUUCUUGUAGGCAUCAUAAGUCAUUCAGUCUUAUAGCUCUUCAUUAUCUGCAUGCGGUCUUUUUCUUUUCCUCUCAGGUGCUCGUUUUGUCUGGUCCUUCAGUUUAAUGUUUUUAUUUAGCAGCCGUUAUUAUUGGCAAGAACCUAUGGAAUCUAUGUUUGGGCUCAUAACGGUUAGAUUGUUUGGGCUCAUAACACAUUAAAAUUUGCUCCUGCUAUUCAGCUAGAGCCUUGAGCAUUAUACAAGGAUGAACUGUAGGGGCAGCCCAUUACCUUCUGGGUGGAAUUGUCACAACAUGGGCAUCCUUGCUGAUUUUUGGGCACACAUACUUAUCCUCGAUUGGAUAAGUGCUGUACUGGAAAGCAGGUUGGCAAUAUGUGUCCUGUUUGUGUUUUGGGGAAAAUGGCUAACUUGAGGUACAAAUUUUGCAGCAUACUGGAACCCUUGGAUCAGGGGCCUUUGGUUCAAGAAGUUACAAAUUCCAUUUGAGAAACAGAUCCCAAAAGACCACUGAAUUCAAAUCAGCAGAACAGCUCUCGCCUGACAUUCAAGAUGCACUUUGGAUAACAAACAUGCCCCUAGGGCAGUAGCUGGAAGCGAAAGAGAGAACCUCAUAGUUGGAUAAAGUCUUAACCAGGACAGAAGUGCACCCUUGAGGCAGUCCGAAGGAACCAAGAUGAGCGGACAGGCGCUCAGUUGCAAAGAUGAUACUUGAAGAGUGUCUGAAGGCUUGCAAUGGCAUGUCCUGCAAAGGGUGGGUGGCAAUGUGGCAUGGUGUGAUGAAACAUUGCUAAAAUGUGGAUAGACUGUCAUGAAUGUGUGCCUUGAAGAUUAACCUGAAACUGUUAAUGCCGUGGGUCAAAGACAAGCUGCCUGCCUGCCUGCUGUUUACAGACAUGCUCUAUGUUGUCUCUGUUCUUUCUGCAUUAUACACGUGCUGUAAGUUUCUGAGGAAAGAUGUACGUAUAUGCAGUUGCUUUUCUUUUA